ensembl:lncRNA
ACUGAGCCUCCUUUUGUGCCCCAGAAGCGGGAGGAGACCGCGGGGCGGCGAAUAGCCGUUAAAGACUCAGGCGCCCCCCCCUUCCCCCCCCGCCCCGGCCCUGCAGAAUAUCAAUGAAGAGGACGGCGGCUCCCCCGCGUCAUGUGAGACGUACCCGACCCCGGAGCGGGACACCUCCCCCGGCCCGCCCCGGACGAGGCCCCGCUCGCCGUCACAAUGGUCGUCCCCCCGUGGCUUCCCCCCUUUCAGGGUUGUUUGGGGACGGCAAAAGCGGCGGGAAGAGAGAACAGACGGGCAAAUGUCGCCCCGGGUGUGGAGUUACUCCUUUCGGUCCGCCGACUGGUCUUUUGAUGUUUAUCCGGAUGUUGGUGUUUUUUUUCUGUUCCCAUCCGUUUCUGAUUCAAAUGUUCAAAUGGUUCAUCCUGGUCGUGGUGCGUUAGAGGCGGCUGCGUUUUGUAACCGUCGGCUGCUGUGUGUGUGUGUGUGUGUGUGUGUGAGUCCGUUUGGGUUCGAGUGCGUUACUCACAUUGAGUGCCAAAAACUGCUUUGAUCACUUGUGCUUUCGUUCUCACCCUUCAUCUUUUAUUCCACCCCCUGGUUCUUUCUCUAUUGAGCCAUCAAUGUUUUUCUGCAACCCUUUGCUCGACAUUCGGAAAAGCCUUUCGGAAACCACGACUGUACACAAAGAAGUAGGACUGAAACGGGAAAGCCGGGCUGUGCUUUGAUAGACCUGCAGUGCACACACACACACACACACACACACACACAUGAGAAGGUAGCAGAAUGUACAAAUAAUAGUGCAGUGUAUUAUUUGAUUAUUACAUUUGAUUAGAAAGUUUGGAUUUAUUGAAACAUUCCGAAGAGCUAGACUGAAUAGAAGGGUCUUUAGUUUCUGUGAGAUCUUCUAGAUGUAUUGAUUCAUUGAUGCUAAACUUGGUGAAAUAUAUACAUGUUUCACUAUAAAAAUCAUAUUUCUCAUAUUAUGUGGUUUUAUAACCCAAGCAGUUGCACGAUACCCUUGUCUGAAAAAUAUAUUUUGUCUAAAUUUCUAUUUAAACCUAGGACUGUUUAACCCUGAAAAAGUAAAAACAACUCUGUAAGUCAGACCAAAUACCAGCUGACGGUUUGCUGCGUGAGACAAGCCAGUGAAAGAGAUUUAUGAAAGCAAGGACAGAGGAGGAGGUCAUGAUGUUACUGCAUUACCGCCUCAGCACAUCACUACAGUGUAUUCUUUACACAUUCCGCCCUGAAACAGGUCAUUAGUACCGAGGAUACGCAGCCGUCCACCAGCCACGACUCCCUUUAUCGCCCUGCUGUGACCUGAGUGCUGCUUGUCUGUGCGUGUGUGUGUGUGUGUGUGUGUGCGUGUGCAUGUGCGGGUGUGAAUGAGGCCUCUCCGUCUCGACCCGCCUCGCCCAACCAGCCGUGUCCUCGCUCUGCAGCUCCUCCGGUGUUUCGCUAAACAUGCUUGAUUAGGCAAAGUAUAUUUUCCGAGGCCCCUCUAAUGGGCCGAUGAGCCCUUGAGGAGAUUACUGCAGACACGAGGGGGAGAGGGGGGAGAGGACUGGGGGGGGGGAGGGCGCACGUUGGACCGGCUCGUCACCCCGUUUACUAACCGCCGGCCUCGCUCGCCCCGCUCGCAUUGCGCACCAGCAAACGCCGUCGUCCAUCGAACUGAAUCCGCGGCGCAAUUGAAUUACGAGGCCUGACAUAGGCCGACGCCCCCUCGCUGUAGGGGAGGUCCUGCUCGCGAUGCCGCCUCACUCACCGGGUCGUUUCGUUACAUUUGUUCGACACUACAGGGCGGCUGAGGAACUCAAGUGUGGCCUCGUUAAAGUGGAGUCUGUUUAUUCAAGUCAUCAUCCUCCUUCUUCUCUACAAACUUGUGUCAUUCCCAUCCGUCCUCUUUUAACGGCUGCACUUUGUCUCCUUUUUUCAAAAUGCUUUUUAUAGCUGACUCACACUGCUCACACACACACACACACCUAAUAAUUCAGCUCAAUUUAUGUGCAGGCUGCACCUUCAUCCUGUUUGUCACCGUUAAAGGUUAGCUUGUUAAUGUAAUGAGGCGGUGACAGAAACAGAAAUCAAAUAAUUCCCCAAAUCAAAUCCAUAAGUGACAAUAUUUCAUAAAACAUUUACAAACCCUCUUAUGCGGUAAAUUGCUUUCCUUUCCUUUGAAAUCAUUUUGUUUGGAGUUUUUCUUUUUUUGGGUGACACAUAUUGCCUCCAGUUCCACACACACAUUCUCCCUCUUUAUCUCUACAGCACGUAUCAACACACACACACACACACACACACACACACACACAGAAGAAAUGCCCACCCAUCAUGACCCAGUCUGUGUGUGUUUAUCCGGUUGUGCCCCCCCCACUCCUCUCCCCCCUCCCCAGCCAAUAACUGCCAUCUCGCCCAGUACGCGGCCCAUGCCCCACAGAGAGCCCAGGAAUGGGGGCUAACUAUUCCUAAAUCCACCGUCUCACUCGAGAGCACCGACAUGAGAGAGCUCCGAAUUUUAAAAAAAAAAGCACAAAACAAGGCGUGAAAACAAAAUGUUUGCUUUUUCUAUAGUUUGUUCCUGUGCUAGAUAUUCGGGUUUGAAAUGAUUAUGGAGUAUUAUUGUGUAUGAUUUCAAUUCCUCCGGCGCGCCCGGAUUCGACGGCGACGAUGAAGACGAAACCCCGAAGACUCUCGCGAGGAAGCAGCGCCGACCUGAACCUGAGAGGAGAGCAAGAGGACGAAGAGUGAAUGGACUGAAGUUCUAUAGCUGCAGAAGGGGAUUCUCCCACUACUGUGAAGGACCCCCGUCCCAGACCCCCCCCCCCCCGCCGCGGCCCUCGGGGGCCCGCCGCCGUCCAAUGACAACACAUGUCCCUACUGGGUACAUAACCUUGAUGCUUACAUGUAAUUUAAGUGCAGUAGCUGCAUGAACACACGGCCUCUGUGUGUGUGUACAGAAGUAGCGACGUGUGAAUUUGUACAGUACAUGCAAGUGUGUGUGUGUGUGUGUGUGAGUGCAAAUGUGUUCGCAAAGAGAUCUGUCCGUCGUCACGCUAAACGAAUCACGUGCAUGCACCCUCCCACAACUGCCCAGUGCACACGCCUCCUCUACACACACACACACACACGCACACGCACACACUCCAGCAGUUGUUCACCAUUCUCCACAUUGUCCUGAGCUGUGCGUGUCACUCCGCAUGGAGACUUUGCUCUAUGUCAACUUUCUUAUUCUAAUAAACCUCUCAGACGUUGAUCUCGAAGGUGACAUCGUUGACCAGCGCGUGUUGUGAUUUGUGUCGUUUAUGAACACGUGAA